UACGUAGGGGGCGAGCGUUGUCCGGAUUUAUUGGGCGUAAAGAGCGCGUAGGCGGCCCGUUAAGUCGGAUGUGAAAACCCGUGGCUCAACCACGGGCCUGCAUCCGAUACUGGCGGGCUCGAGGCAGGCAGGGGAGAUCGGAAUUCCGUGGUGUAGCGGUGAAAUGCGCAGAUAUCAGGAGGAACACCGGUGGCGAAGGCGGAUCUCUGGGCCUGUCCUGACGCUCGAGGCGCGAAAGCUAGGGGAGCAAACAGG
rnacentral:rRNA from 1 species